GACGAACGCUGGGGCGUGCUUAACACAUGCAAGUCGAACGGUAAGGCCCUUCGGGGUACACGAGUGGCGAACGGGUGAGUAACACGUGGGUGAUCUGCCCUGCACUUCGGGAUAAGCCUGGGAAACUGGGUCUAAUACCGGAUAGGACCACUGCCUGCAUGGGUGGUGGUGGAAAGCUUUUGCGGUGUGGGAUGGGCCCGCGGCCUAUCAGCUUGUUGGUGGGGUGAUGGCCUACCAAGGCGACGACGGGUAGCCGGCCUGAGAGGGUGACCGGCCACACGGGGACUGAGAUACGGCCCAGACUCCUACGGGAGGCAGCAGUGGGGAAUAUUGCACAAUGGGCGCAAGCCUGAUGCAGCGACGCCGCGUGAGGGAUGACGGCCUUCGGGUUGUAAACCUCUUUCAGCACCGACGAAGCGCAAGUGACGGUAGGUGCAGAAGAAGGACCGGCCAACUACGUGCCAGCCGCCGCAGUAACAC
rnacentral:rRNA from 1 species